rnacentral:sRNA from 1 species
UGCAAUGAAGGAACUUGGGGUGUACAGUGUCAAAACUCAUGCAAUAAAAGCUGCCCUACCACGUGCCGCUUUGACGAUGGUCUGUGCAAUGAUGGCUGCUUCGGAUAUAGUGACCCACCAAGGUGUGCAAAAGCAUGUGAAGCAGGAACCUGGGGUCUAAACUGUACGAAGAAAUGCAGCAAUCAUUGUUUUAAUUCUUUCAUGUGACAGAGUUACUGGAGUAUGUGACAAAGGAUGUCUUGGAUACAGAAAUCCACCAGACUGUACUUUGGAGUGUGAAACAGGCUUCUGGGGUUUGAACUGCAUCAAUACGUGCGACAGAUGUGUUGAAUUGUCAUGUAAUGGUAAAACAGGGUGGUGUGACAAAGGAUGUGUUGUUUCUAAUGAUCCUUCUUACUGCAUGAUAACGUGCAGACCAGGAACUUGGGGUGUAAACUGCAGUAACACAUGCAGCAAUCAU